rnacentral:rRNA from 1 species
GGGUUGUGAGGUUAAGCGACUAAGCGUACACGGUGGAUGCCCUGGCAGUCAGAGGCGAUGAAGGACGUGCUAAUCUGCGAAAAGCGUCGGUAAGGUGAUAUGAACCGUUACAGCCGGCGAUGUCCGAAUGGGGAAACCCAGUGCAAUUCGUUGCACUAUCGUUAACUGAAUACAUAGGUUAACGAGGCGAACCGGGGGAACUGAAACAUCUAAGUACCCCGAGGAAAAGAAAUCAACCGAGAUUCCCCCAGUAGCGGCGAGCGAACGGGGAGCAGCCCAGAGUCUGAAUCAGCUUGUGUGUUAGUGGAACGGUCUGGAAAGUCCGACGGUACAGGGUGAUAGUCCCGUACACCAAAAUGCACAGGCUGUGAACUCGAAGAGUAGGGCGGGACACGUGGUAUCCUGUCUGAAUAUGGGGGGACCAUCCUCCAAGGCUAAAUACUCCUGACUGACCGAUAGUGAACCAGUACCGUGAGGGAAAGGCGAAAAGAACCCCGGCGAGGGGAGUGAAAAAGAACCUGAAACCGUGUACGUACAAGCAGUGGGAGCACCUUCGGGUGUGACUGCGUACCUUUUGUAUAAUGGGUCAGCGACUUAUAUUCUGUAGCAAGGUUAACCGUAUAGGGGAGCCGCAGGGAAACCGAGUCUUAACUGGGCGUUAAGUUGCAGGGUAUAGACCCGAAACCCGGUGAUCUAGCCAUGGGCAGGUUGAAGGUUGGGUAACACUAACUGGAGGACCGAACCGACUAAUGUUGAAAAAUUAGCGGAUGACUUGUGGCUGGGGGUGAAAGGCCAAUCAAACCGGGAGAUAGCUGGUUCUCCCCGAAAGCUAUUUAGGUAGCGCCUCGUGAAUUCAUCUUCGGGGGUAGAGCACUGUUUCGGCUAGGGGGUCAUCCCGACUUACCAACCCGAUGCAAACUACGAAUACCGAAGAAUGUUAUCACGGGAGACACACGGCGGGUGCUAACGUCCGUCGUGAAGAGGGAAACAACCCAGACCGCCAGCUAAGGUCCCAAAGUCAUGGUUAAGUGGGAAACGAUGUGGGAAGGCACAGACAGCCAGGAUGUUGGCUUAGAAGCAGCCAUCAUUUAAAGAAAGCGUAAUAGCUCACUGGUCGAGUCGGCCUGCGCGGAAGAUGUAACGGGGCUAAACCAUGCACCGAAGCUGCGGCAGCGACACUAUGUGUUGUUGGGUAGGGGAGCGUUCUGUAAGCCUGCGAAGGUGUGCUGUGAGGCAUGCUGGAGGUAUCAGAAGUGCGAAUGCUGACAUAAGUAACGAUAAAGCGGGUGAAAAGCCCGCUCGCCGGAAGACCAAGGGUUCCUGUCCAACGUUAAUCGGGGCAGGGUGAGUCGACCCCUAAGGCGAGGCCGAAAGGCGUAGUCGAUGGGAAACAGGUUAAUAUUCCUGUACUUGGUGUUACUGCGAAGGGGGGACGGAGAAGGCUAUGUUAGCCGGGCGACGGUUGUCCCGGUUUAAGCAUGUAGGCUGGUUAUCCAGGCAAAUCCGGAUAAUCAAGGCUGAGGUGUGAUGACGAGGCACUACGGUGCUGAAGUAACAAAUGCCCUGCUUCCAGGAAAAGCCUCUAAGCAUCAGGUAACAUCAAAUCGUACCCCAAACCGACACAGGUGGUCAGGUAGAGAAUACCAAGGCGCUUGAGAGAACUCGGGUGAAGGAACUAGGCAAAAUGGUGCCGUAACUUCGGGAGAAGGCACGCUGGUGUGUAGGUGAAGCCCCUGCGGGUGGAGCUGAGACCAGUCGAAGAUACCAGCUGGCUGCAACUGUUUAUUAAAAACACAGCACUGUGCAAACACGAAAGUGGACGUAUACGGUGUGACGCCUGCCCGGUGCCGGAAGGUUAAUUGAUGGGGUUAUCCGUAAGGAGAAGCUCUUGAUCGAAGCCCCGGUAAACGGCGGCCGUAACUAUAACGGUCCUAAGGUAGCGAAAUUCCUUGUCGGGUAAGUUCCGACCUGCACGAAUGGCGUAAUGAUGGCCAGGCU